UACGUAGGGGGCAAGCGUUGUCCGGAAUCAUUGGGCGUAAAGAGCGUGUAGGCGGUCCGAUAAGUCGGCUGUGAAAGUCAAGGGCUCAACCCUUGAAUGCCGGCCAAUACUGUCGGGCUAGAGUCCGGAAGAGGCGAGUGGAAUUCCUGGUGUAGCGGUGAAAUGCGCAGAUAUCAGGAGGAACACCAAUGGCGAAGGCAGCUCGCUGGGACGGUACUGACGCUGAGACGCGAAAGCGUGGGGAGCAAACAGG
rnacentral:rRNA from 1 species